rnacentral:rRNA from 1 species
UACGGGGGGGGCAAGCGUUGUUCGGAAUUACUGGGCGUAAAAGGGCGCGUAGGCGGCCGCCUAAGUCAGACGUGAAAUCCCUCGGCUCAACCGGGGAACUGCGUCUGAUACUGGGCGGCUUGAAUCCGGGAGAGGGAUGCGGAAUUCCAGGUGUAGCGGUGAAAUGCGUAGAUAUCUGGAGGAACACCGGUGGCGAAGGCGGCAUCCUGGACCGGUAGUUGACGCUGAGG